rnacentral:rRNA from 1 species
AGGUGGCAAGCGUUGUUCGGAUUUACUGGGCGUACAGGGAGCGUAGGCGGUUGGGUAAGCCCUUCGUGAAAUCUCCGGGCCUAACCCGGAAAGUGCGGAGGGGACUGCUCGGCUAGAGGAUGGGAGAGGAGCGCGGAAUUCCCGGUGUAGCGGUGAAAUGCGUAGAGAUCGGGAGGAAGGCCGGUGGCGAAGGCGGCGCUCUGGAACAUUUCUGACGCUGAGGCGCGAAAGCGUGGGGAGCAAACAGG